rnacentral:rRNA from 1 species
GCGAAUGGCUCAUUAAAUCAGUUAUCGUUUAUUUGAUAGUACCUUACUACUUGGAUAACCGUGGUAAUUCUAGAGCUAAUACAUGCUGAAAACCCCGACUUCGGAAGGGGUGUAUUUAUUAGAUAAAAAGCCAAUGCCCUUCGGGGCUCCUUGGUGAUUCACAAUAACUUCUCAGAUCGCAUGGCCUUGCGCCGGCGACGGUUCAUUCAAAUUUCUGCCCUAUCAACUUUCGAUGGUAAGGUAUUGGCUUACCAUGGUUUCAACGGGUAACGGGGAAUUAGGGUUCGAUUCCGGAGAGGGAGCCGGAGGAACGGCUACCACAUCCAAGGAAGGCAGCAGGCGCGCAAAUUACCCAAUCCCGACACGGGGAGGUAGUGACAAUAAAUACUGAUACAGGGCUCUUUUGGGUCUUGUAAUUGGAAUGAGUACAAUUUAAACCUCUUAACGAGGAACAAUUGGAGGGCAAGUCUGGUGCCAGCAGCCGCGGUAAUUCCAGCUCCAAUAGCGUAUAUUAAAGUUGUUGCAGUUAAAAAGCUCGUAGUUGAACCUUUGGCCUGGCUGGCGGGUCCGCCUCACCGCGUGCACUCGUCCGGCCGGGCCUUCUCUUCUGGAGAACCGCAUGCCCUUCACUGGGUGUGUUGGGGACCAGGACUUUUACUUUGAAAAAAUUAGAGUGUUCAAAGCAGGCCUUUGCUCGAAUACGUUAGCAUGGAAUAAUGGAAUAGGACGUGCGGUCCUAUUUUGUUGGUUUCUAGGACCGCCGUAAUGAUUAAUAGGGACAGUCGGGGGCAUCAGUAUUCAAUUGUCAGAGGUGAAAUUCUUGGAUUUAUUGAAGACUAACUACUGCGAAAGCAUUUGCCAAGGAUGUUUUCAUUAAUCAGUGAACGAAAGUUAGGGGAUCGAAGACGAUCAGAUACCGUCGUAGUCUUAACCAUAAACUAUGCCGACUAGGGAUCGGGCGGUGUUAUUAUUUUGACUCGCUCGGC